rnacentral:rRNA from 1 species
UACGUAGGGGGCUAGCGUUGUCCGGAUUUAUUGGGCGUAAAGAGCUCGUAGGCGGUUUGUCGCGUCUGCUGUGAAAACCCGAGGCUCAACCUCGGGCCUGCAGUGGGUACGGGCAGACUAGAGUGCGGUAGGGGAGAUUGGAAUUCCUGGUGUAGCGGUGGAAUGCGCAGAUAUCAGGAGGAACACCGAUGGCGAAGGCAGAUCUCUGGGCCGUAACUGACGCUGAGGAGCGAAAGCGUGGGGAGCGAACAGG